rnacentral:rRNA from 1 species
GACGAACGCUGGCGGCGUGCUUAACACAUGCAAGUCGAACGGAGUGGCGAACGGGUGAGUAACACGCGGGUGACCUGCCCUGCCCUUCGGGAUAAGCCAGGGAAACUGGGUCUAAUACCGGACAGUGUGGGAUGGGGCCGCGGCAUAUCAGCUUGUUGGUGGGGUAAUGGCCUACCAAGGCGGCGACGGGUAGCCGGCCUGAGAGGGUGGACGGCCACAGUGGGACUGAGGCACGGCCCAGACUCCUACGGGAGGCAGCAGUGGGGAAUAUUGGACAAUGCGCGGAGGCCUGAUGCAGCGCCGCCGCGUGGGGGAUGACGGCCUUCGGGUUGUAAACUCCUUUCACCAUCGACGCGGUAGAUGGAGAAGAAGCACCGGCUAACUACGUGCCAGCAGCCGCGGUAAUUC